UCGGCCCAAUGGGCCCGCAUAGACUCGGCUAAAUAGGGCCCCCAUGGUUGGCUUCUAAUUGGUUCAUUUAUGCAAUAAAAUUUAUUGCAGGGACUAAUAUUUAAUUACAGGGUAAUGUUCUAUAAUAAAAGUUGAGUGAGAGGACUAAAUAACUAUUGUUGGGGACCUUUAUGUAAUAAGUCUUUCCUAUAGGGAUCAAAUACAAAUUACUGAAGAUCCUAUUUCUGAAAUAGCAUACUGCCAAGGGCUUAACUGCAAAUAAU
rnacentral:lncRNA from 1 species